rnacentral:rRNA from 1 species
GACGAACGCUGGCGGCGGGCUUAACACAUGCAAGUCGAACGGAAAGGCCCUGCUUUGGUGGGGUGCUCGAGUGGCGAACGGGUGAGUAACACGUGAGUAACCUGCACUUGACUUUGGGAUAACUUCAGGAAACUGGGGCUAAUACCGGAUAGGAGCUCCUGCUGAAUGGUGGGGGUUGGAAGGUUUCGGCGGUUGGGGAUGGACUCGCGGCCUAUCAGCUUGUUGGUGUGGUAGUGGCUUACCAAGGCUUUGACGGGUAGCAGGCCUGCGAGGGUGACCGGCCACAUUGGGACGGGGCUGCGGCCCAGACUCCUACGGGAGGCAGCAGUGGGGAAUAGUGCACAAUGGGCUGAAGCCUGAUGCAGCAACGCCGCGUGCGGUAUGACGGCCUUCGGGUUGUAAACCGCUUUCGCCUGUGACGAAGCGUGAGUGACGGUAAUGGGUAAAGAAGCACCGGCUAACUACGUG